rnacentral:sRNA from 1 species
CUGUGCCGGUUCGAUUGGGAUUCUCAUCAAUUAAACACCGAAACCGAGAAUGCUGCUUAUACAAUGGCGGGCCGAUAUAUGCUUCGCGGCAUAACGUCGGAUUACAGAGUAUAAGCGUGCGCUCAAAUCCUAUCACUACAGGAGUUUCAUCACAUCAUCGGCACAGCCCUCU